GAAGUCGGAAUUGCUAGUAAUGGCAGGUCAGCAUACUGCCGUGAAUACGUUCCCGAGCCUUGUACACACCGCCCGUCACACCAUGAGAGUUGGAGAUACCCGAAGCCUGAGAGCUAACUUUUAGAGGCAGCAGUCGAAGGUAGAAUCAAUGAUUGGGGUGAAGUCGUAACAAGGUAGC
rnacentral:rRNA from 1 species